rnacentral:rRNA from 1 species
UCUUUUGGAGAGUUUGAUCCUGGCUCAGGACGAACGCUGGCGGCGUGCCUAAUACAUGCAAGUCGAGCGGACCGGAUCGGAGCUUGCUCUGAUUUGGUCAGCGGCGGACGGGUGAGUAACACGUGGGCAACCUGCCCGCAAGACCGGGAUAACUCCGGGAAACCGGAGCUAAUACCGGAUAACACCGAAGACCGCAUGGUCUUUGGUUGAAAGGCGGCC